GCCCAGGUAGCAAAAUCCGGUAUUGCGCCGGUCUUGAAAACCGGUCCCUUCGGGGAUUAUGGGUUCAAAUCCCAUCCUGGGCG
rnacentral:tRNA from 1 species